rnacentral:rRNA from 1 species
GACGAACGCUGGCGGCGUGCUUAACACAUGCAAGUCGAACGGAAAGGCCCUGCUUUUGUGGGGUGCUCGAGUGGCGAACGGGUGAGUAACACGUGAGUAACCUGCCCUUGACUUUGGGAUAACUUCAGGAAACUGGGGCUAAUACCGGAUACGAGCUCCUGCUGCAUGGUGGGGGUUUGAAAGUUUCGGCGGUUGGGGAUGGACUCGCGGCUUAUCAGCUUGUUGGUGGGGUAGUGGCUUACCAAGGCUUUGACGGGUAGCCGGCCUGAGAGGGUGACCGGCCACAUUGGGACUGAGAUACGGCCCAGACUCCUACGGGAGGCAGCAGUGGGGAAUAUUGCACAAUGGGCGGAAGCCUGAUGCAGCAACGCCGCGUGCGGGAUGACGGCCUUCGGGUUGUAAACCGCUUUCGCCUGUGACGAAGCGUGAGUGACGGUAAUGGGUAAAGAAGCACCGGCUAACUACGUG